AUUGAACGCUGGCGGCAUGCCUUACACAUGCAAGUCGAACGGCAGCACGGGUGCUUGUACCUGGUGGCGAGUGGCGAACGGGUGAGUAAUACAUCGGAACAUGUCCUGUAGUGGGGGAUAGCCCGGCGAAAGCCGGAUUAAUACCGCAUACGAUCUACGGAUGAAAGCGGGGGACCUUCGGGCCUCGCGCUAUAGGGUUGGCCGAUGGCUGAUUAGCUCGUUGGUGGGGUAAAGGCCUACCAAGGCGACGAUCAGUAGCUGGUCUGAGAGGACGACCGGCCACACUGGGACUGAGACACGGCCCAGACUCCUACGGGAGGCAGCAGUGGGGAAUUUUGGACAAUGGGCGAAAGCCUGAUCCAGCAAUGCCGCGUGUGUGAAGAAGGCCUUCGGGUUGUAAAGCACUUUUGUCCGGAAAGAAAUCCUUGGCCCUAAUACGGUCGGGGGAUGACGGUACCGGAAGAAUAAGCACCGGCUAACUACGUG
rnacentral:rRNA from 1 species